CUGCAACGCCCGCAACUGCUCUUCGAGCUGGCGGUUGCGAUACUGCAAUUCCUCGUUCUGGCCGGUCAGCGUGCGAAGCUGAUUUUCCAGCCGCUCGAUGCGCAUUUCGGGAUCGAGAUCCUGCUGCGCGACCGCGCCGANNGACAGGCAGCCAAGCGGGCGCGAAUGCGAGCACCGCACAGACGAAAAUUUGAAAUCUGGAUNCUGGAUGACAUUUUGACCCGAAAAACAGUAAGGGCAUCGCUUUUCAAAGCGACCAAGAUUGAACGGUUCAGUACGCCAAAAAUAUGGCUUCCGACAGCGGCUCGUUGCCUCAGCAUGA
rnacentral:misc_RNA from 1 species